CUGGUUUAAUUUAAAGUGGUAAUGAUUACGCAUACAUUUCCUUUGAUUACAAAAGAACUAUAUACCCCCCCUAACAUCUGAGCUCUUACUAUUUGUCAGACAUUGGGUUAAGGAUGCUAAUAGAGCUGCUUUCCUGAGCUGAACAGAUUUCUUUUCAUCUGCUUCAUGGCAGGUCUGUAGCUCAGAGCUCCCAGUUGUGAGAGGCCAUUGAUCCGUUGGAGUCCUGUGUGUGCAGAGUAGUUCCUUCUGAGGUGGUGAUCUGGAAGCGGAAGUCUGGAAAGUCAGUGGCCAUGUCAUGAGGAAACUUGGGCAGCCCUAUGAAGAGGUCCACAUGGGCAGGAACUGAGGCCGUCUGCCAACAGCCAGCAUCAAUGUACCAGCCAUGAGAGUGAGCCAGCUUGAAGUGAAUCUUCCAGUCACACUCAACCCUUCAAAUGAUUAUCAGCCUAGCUUACAUCUUAAUUGCAAACUCAUGAGACUCCAUAAGCCAGAACCACCUAAACAGCCCCUGAAUUCUGACCACAGAAACUGUAUGAGAUAUUUUUUUAAGCCAAUAAGUUUUGGUACUGUUUUAUGCAGCAAUAGAUUAAAGAUGUUUCAAGAAACAAUUCUAAUAAACUAUUAGCUAUCUAAUGAUGACACUGUUUAUUAAGGGUAUUGUCUGUGAGUUUUGUCAAGUUACUUAGCUUUGCUACAUUUCAAUUUCCUCAUCUGUCAAAAGGGACUAAUAAGUAGUAUCCAUUUUUCAGAAUGUUUAUAGCAUUAACUGGAAUAAUGUUACAUGUAGAUAUUUUAAAUAAUAAGAAUGGAAUCUUAGA